rnacentral:rRNA from 1 species
GGGAUGGGCGCAGCUACCAUGCAGUCGAGCGGUAACAGGGGUAGCUUGCUACCCGCUGACGAGCGGCGGACGGGUGAGUAAUGCAUAGGAAUCUGCCCGAUAGUGGGGGAUAACCUGGGGAAACCCAGGCUAAUACCGCAUACGUCCUACGGGAGAAAGGGGGCUCCGGCUCCCGCUAUUGGAUGAGCCUAUGUCGGAUUAGCUAGUUGGUGAGGUAAUGGCUUACCAAGGCAACGAUCCGUAGCUGGUCUGAGAGGAUGAUCAGCCACAUCGGGACUGAGACACGGCCCGAACUCCUACGGGAGGCAGCAGUGGGGAAUAUUGGACAAUGGGGGCAACCCUGAUCCAGCCAUGCCGCGUGUGUGAAGAAGGCCCUCGGGUUGUAAAGCACUUUCAGCGAGGAAGAACGCCUAUCGGUUAAUACCCGGUAGGAAAGACAUCACUCGCAGAAGAAGCACCGGCUAACUCCGUGCCAGCAGCCGCGGUAAUACGGAGGGUGCAAGCGUUAAUCGGAAUUACUGGGCGUAAAGCGCGCGUAGGUGGCUUGAUAAGCCGGUUGUGAAAGCCCCGGGCUCAACCUGGGAACGGCAUCCGGAACUGUCAGGCUAGAGUGCAGGAGAGGAAGGUAGAAUUCCCGGUGUAGCGGUGAAAUGCGUAGAGAUCGGGAGGAAUACCAGUGGCGAAGGCGGCCUUCUGGACUGACACUGACACUGAGGUGCGAAAGCGUGGGUAGCAAACAGGAUUAGAUACCC